AUGGAGCUUUAGACAUAAAGUAAGUCACGUUUAACAUGCUGUGAUAACAGUAAAAACUUAGUGAUAUUUACUGAAGUGUCUUUGGUUGGGGCGACCGCGGGGUAAAACACAACCCCCAUGUGGACCGGGGAUAUUAUCCCUAAUACUCAGAGCCUCUACUCCAAGUAACAGAAAUUCUGACUUUUCUGAUCCGGUAUAACCGAUCAACGAACCG
rnacentral:rRNA from 1 species